UCGAACGCUUCUUUUUCCACCGGAGCUUGCUCCACCGGAAAAAGAGGAGUGGCGAACGGGUGAGUAACACGUGGGUAACCUGCCCAUCAGAAGGGGAUAACACUUGGAAACAGGUGCUAAUACCGUAUAACAAUCAAAACCGCAUGGUUUUGAUUUGAAAGGCGCUUUCGGGUGUCGCUGAUGGAUGGACCCGCGGUGCAUUAGCUAGUUGGUGAGGUAACGGCUCACCAAGGCCACGAUGCAUAGCCGACCUGAGAGGGUGAUCGGCCACAUUGGGACUGAGACACGGCCCAAACUCCUACGGGAGGCAGCAGUAGGGAAUCUUCGGCAAUGGACGAAAGUCUGACCGAGCAACGCCGCGUGAGUGAAGAAGGUUUUCGGAUCGUAAAACUCUGUUGUUAGAGAAGAACAAGGAUGAGAGUAACUGUUCAUCCCUUGACGGUAUCUAACCAGAAAGCCACGGCUAACUACGUGCC
rnacentral:rRNA from 1 species